AUUAAAUGGAUGCGGUAACUCUGACCGUAAUAAAGUAGCAUAAUUAAUUACCAUUUAAUUGGUGGAGAGUAUGAAUGGUAGCACGAACUUCUCAUUGUCUUAAUUAAAAAUUUUUAAAAUUGAAUUAAUAGUGAAGAUGCUAUUUAUAAUCGUAAGACGAAAAGACCCUAUAGAGCUUUACUAUAAAUUGUUAAUUGGGAAAUAACCUUAUUUAAACAAUUUAAAAUUUGGUAGUUUAGUUGGGGCGACUAUCUUUUAAAAAUAACAAAGAUAAGUAAAAUUAAUAUUAUAAUUUAUUGUAUAAUUAAUAAAUUUAACAAUUAUUAAAGUAGGCUAUAAUGACCCGUUAAUUUAGAUAAAAAUAAUUAACGAUUAAUAAAUAAAAGCUACCUUAGGGAUAACAGGAAUAAUUUUGUUUU
rnacentral:rRNA from 1 species